GCAUUUGGCGGGAUCUGUGUCUCUCGCUGGUGCUGGCACAGGAGCUUGGGAUCUGUCUCCUCUUUCGCCUCCUGCACCUUGAGAGCCCUGGGCUACUCUGUCACAGCCCCUGUUGCCCUGCGAUCUGUAGGUCCUUGGGGACGCAUAGUUAAGGUGCCAGGACAUCCUGGAAGCUGGGAAAUGAUUUCUUCCAGACCAUGGCUGGAGAAGGAAAGAAGGUGUGUUUUGCCUGAUUCAGGGACUAUAGAGAGAACCAAGUUCUGCAGGCCUGUCAUCUAAGUCUCAGGGCGGGGAGACCUUCCUUCCCCACGGGUUUGAGGCUAUGGCUAAGUGGUGAGCCUUGGUGAGACGCAGAAAGGAUCCAUCCCAGGCACUUGGCUAGAGGCAGGUUCCUGGGAUCUGAUAAAACUGAUAUUGGAGACGCUGGAGCUGAUCCGACAUAGCAAUGGUGUUGACUCCCUCCUUAUGUGUGGAUUGCUCAGCGGGGGAACUUGACUGUCCAACAUGCUGGGUGCAAGAACAGCAGAAAGGGGACUUUUAAGAUGUGGCAAACAUGAGGCCUCUUCGGAGAGGACUUUGGAAACCAGGCCUUGCUUGGCUGAAUGCUAUCCCAGUGAUUGUACGUGCCCUGUUUGCUGAAUCUACUCAUCCUUAAGGGUACAUUUGCUUCCAGGUAACAUGUUUGUGACUAAUACUACAAUGUGCAUAUAUCUAUUCCAUGUUCUGCUUUGUCUGUUUGGGAUAUUUUUCAUACACUGAUUCAGUACCAUGUGUAUUCCCUUGCUUUUGUUGUCUCAUCCGUUGAUGUUACGUCCCCCAAAUUAUUGCCACGACCAGUUGUCAUGAAGCUUCACCCUUCUGUAUUGUGCUAGGAAUUUUACAGCUAUAGGUUUUACAUUAUAGUCUUCAUUCAUUUUUUAAAAUUGACACAUGUAAUUGUGCAUAUUUUGGGGAAACAAUUAUAUAUAUAUGUUGUAUAACAAUAAAAAUCAGAGUACUUCUAUA